UGGGGAAUCUUGGACAAUGGGGGCAACCCUGAUCCAGCCAUGCCGCGUGAGUGAUGAAGGCCUUAGGGUCGUAAAGCUCUUUCGCCUGUGAAGAUAAUGACGGUAGCAGGUAAAGAAACCCCGGCUAACUCCGUGCCAGCAGCCGCGGUAAUACGGAGGGGGUUAGCGUUGUUCGGAAUUACUGGGCGUAAAGCGCACGUAGGCGGACCAGAAAGUUGGGGGUGAAAUCCCGGGGGCUCAACCCCGGAACUGCCUCCAAAACUAUUGGUCUAGAGUUCGAGAGAGGUGAGUGGAAUUCCAAGUGUAGAGGUGAAAUUCGUAGAUAUUUGGAGGAACACCAGUGGCGAAGGCGGCUCACUGGCUCGAUACUGACGCUGAGGUGCGAAAGUGUGGGGAGCAAACAGGAUUAGAUACCCUGGUAGUCCACACCGUAAAACGAUGAAUGCCAGUCGUCGGGUAGCAUGCUAUUCGGUGACACACCUAACGGAUUAAGCAUUCCGGCCUGGGGAGUACGGUCGCAAGAUUAAAACCUCAAA
rnacentral:rRNA from 1 species